rnacentral:rRNA from 1 species
AGCGAACGCUGGCGGCAGGCCUAACACAUGCAAGUCGAACGAACCCUUCGGGGUUAGUGGCGGACGGGUGAGUAACACGUGGGAACGUGCCUUUAGGUUCGGAAUAACUCAGGGAAACUCGUGCUAAUACCGAAUGUGCCCUUCGGGGGAAAGAUUUAUCGCCUUUAGAGCGGCCCGCGUCUGAUUAGCUAGUUGGUGAGGUAAUGGCUCACCAAGGCUACGAUCAGUAGCUGGUCUGAGAGGAUGACCAGCCACAUUGGGACUGAGACACGGCCCAAACUCCUACGGGAGGCAGCAGUGGGGAAUCUUGCGCAAUGGGCGAAAGCCUGACGCAGCCAUGCCGCGUGAGUGAUGAAGGCCUUAGGGUUGUAAAAUCCUUUCACCGGUGAAGAUAAUGACUGUAGCCGGAGAAGAAGCCCCGGCUAACUUCGUGCCAGCAGCCGCAGUAACAC